rnacentral:rRNA from 1 species
UAGCAUAUCAAUAAGCGGAGGAAAAGAAACCAACAGGGAUUGCCCUAGUAACGGCGAGUGAAGCGGCAACAGCUCAAAUUUGAAAUCUGGCUCUUUUAGAGUCCGAGUUGUAAUUUGCAGAGGGCGCUUUGGCUUUGGCAGCGGUCCAAGUUCCUUGGAACAGGACGUCACAGAGGGUGAGAAUCCCGUACGUGGUCGCUGGCUAUUGCCGUGUAAAGCCCCUUCGACGAGUCGAGUUGUUUGGGAAUGCAGCUCUAAAUGGGAGGUACAUUUCUUCUAAAGCUAAAUAUUGGCCAGAGACCGAUAGCGCACAAGUAGAGUGAUCGAAAGAUGAAAAGCACUUUGGAAAGAGAGUCAAACAGCACGUGAAAUUGUUGAAAGGGAAGCGCUUGCAGCCAGACUUGCUUACAGUUGCUCAUCCGGGUUUUUACCCGGUGCACUCUUCUGUAGGCAGGCCAGCAUCAGUUUGGGCGGUAGGAUAAAGGUCUCUGUCACGUACCUCCUUUCGGGGAGGCCUUAUAGGGGAGACGACAUACUACCAGCCUGGACUGAGGUCCGCGCAUCUGCUAGGAUGCUGGCGUAAUGGCUGUAAGCGGCCCGUCUUGAAACACGGACCAAGGAGUCUAACAUCUAUGCGAGUGUUUGGGUGUCAAGCCCGAGCGCGUAAUGAAAGUGAACGGAGGUGGGAACCCGCAAGGGUGCACCAUCGACCGAUCCUGAUGUCUUCGGAAGGAUUUGAGUAAGAGCAUGGCUGUUGGGACCCGAAAGAUGGUGAACUAUGCUUGAAUAGGGUGAAGCCAGAGGAAACUCUGGUGGAGGCUCGCAGCGGUUCUGACGUGCAAAUCGAUCGUCAAAUUUGGGCAUAGGGGCGAAAGACUAAUUCGAAC